rnacentral:rRNA from 1 species
UACGUAGGGUGCGAGCGUUGUCCGGAAUUACUGGGCGUAAAGAGCUCGUAGGUGGUUUGUCGCGUUGUUCGUGAAAACUCACAGCUUAACUGUGGGCGUGCGGGCGAUACGGGCAGACUGGAGUACUGCAGGGGAGACUGGAAUUCCUGGUGUAGCGGUGGAAUGCGCAGAUAUCAGGAAGGAACACCCGGUGGCGAAGGCGGGUCUC